AAAUGACAUUUUGAAUCGUGAGAGAAGGAAAAGAAAGAGGAAGAAGAAAAUGAAAAGACAGCAAAGGCGAACAUGUGGAUAAGGAACACGAUGACUUAUUGAAUCUAGAGGAGGAUGAGAACCAAAAUGACAUCUUGAAUCAUGGGAGAAGGAAAAGGAAGAGAAAGAGGAAAGGGAAAAGGUAAAUCUAUUUCUUAUUUGCUGUUUUAGCAUUCUUAAUUUCAAUAUUCUCUGUCAGCACACUUGCUUCUUAACCGCUUCAAGGUGGGAGAUGACACAAUUUGCUGCAACUGGGGCUAUCUUUUUUUUUUUUUUUGGGUUAAUAAAAACCAGGUAGAUUCAUUCAAGUGUCUUAAGUAUGUAAUGGCAAUCAAUUGACAAUUGAUGCCUUGUGCCCUGACAAGCAGGACAAUGUUCAUUCUCAAAUUACAAAUAAUUUUCAUAGGAGCAAUUAGGCUGUGUGAAAUUCCCAAA